ensembl:lncRNA
UGUGUGAGUGUGUGUGAGUGUGUGUUUCCCUCUCCCGUGCACAGGCUGUCACUCACACACACACACACACACGUUGUCUGGUUGACGGCAGUGAGCAUGUUCACAUCCGGUGGCACUCCGCAUCCUUCUCUCGCUCUCUUCCUGCACACACUCACAUCUUCCUCUCAUUAGCUCGUCCCCCCCCCCCCCUCCGCAUCCAGCUGGCAGCCUCACAAUUGCUGAUUUCUGGCAGCGACACACCCCUGAAUGUACAGACGUGUGCAUAUUCAGUGUUAUGUGCUGCUAAUUCAUGCGUGCAUCGUCGUCACAUGGCCGCUGAGAAGUGCGGCGAAUUAGCAUGCAUGCUUUUAUUAUUUAAACCCAUAGUACAUAGUAUAUAUAUAUAUGUAUAUAUAUAUAUGUAUAUAUAUGUAUAUAUAUAUAUAUAUACAUAUUUACAUAUAUAUAUAUACAUAUAUUAUAUAUAUACAUAUAUAUAAAACAGGUGUGUUUGUGGGCUGUGAGCCUGCAGUCCUUCGCACAGGAUGUUCUCCACUCACAGCUGUGAACACGUAGAUAUCAAAUCAUGUCUGAUCCACGCGACCGUGAGCACUAGCACGCUAACGCACUAGCCGCUAACGCAUUAGCACGUUAACGCACUAGCCGCUAACUCACUAGCAGGCUAACGCACUAGCCGGCUAAUGCACUAGCAGGCUAACGCACUAGCCGGCUAAUGCACUGGCAGGCUAACGCAAUAGCACGCUAACGCACUAGCAGGCUAAUGCACUAGCACACUAACGCACUAGCCACUAACUCACUAGCAGGCUAACUCACUAGCACGCUAACGCACUAGCAGGCUAACGCACUAGCACGUUAACGCACUAGCAGGCUAACUCACUAGCAGGUUAACUCACUAGCAGUCUAACGCACUAGGAUGUUAACGCACUAGCAGUUUAACGCACUGGCAGACUAAGCAAUAGCACGCUAACGCACUAGCAGGCUAAUGCACUAUCCGCUAACUCACUAGCACGUUAACGCAAUAGCAGGCUAACGCACUAGCACGUUUACGCAGUAGCACGUUAACGCACUAGCAGGUUAACUCACUAGCAGGUUAACUCACUAGCAGGCUAACUCACUAGCACGUUUACGCACUAGCACGUUAACGCACUAGCAGGCUAACUCACUAGCAGGCUAACUCACUAGCAGGCUAACGCACUAGCCCUGCGAAAACUAACAACGUGUUUUUGCAUUCGUCACAAGACAACGUCACAAAAUAUACCUGUACAAUUGUGUAACACAGAGGAAAGACAGCAGUGAAAAGGAGACCCGGCCGAGGACAGGAAGAGGACAGGAAGAGGACAGGAAGAGGAAGUUGAACUCCUGAGCUCCCGGCAGGUCAGAGGUCGGCCAGGUGCUCCGCCUACCUGCGGAGCGGCGACCAGGUCCCAGCGCAGACGCCUCGGAGCCCAGAGGUCACGCAGGGCCGACGCACCGAACAUGCCGGCCAUCCUCAGUCGCCGUUUGACGACGUCAGCGCACGUCUCCGUGUCACAGGGUUUCUGAAGGCGCCGCACGCGUGUCCCGCUCCACAGUCCUCGCUUCCUCCCACACGAGCCAAGCCGGCUUCAGGCCGUCAGCUUCGUUCACAACUGUCAGUCAGCGUCUGCUGUCCUUUACAACUUCCUGUCAGCGGUCGACCAAUGAGGACGAUAAUGGGGAAAAAAACCUCACAGCUACAAAUAAAAAGGUUUUUCAUGCAUCAAUUAAACACGCUGCGUCAUCAAGACUCCUGAGUAUUCGUAAAUGUCCUAAACACGCUGCACUUUAAUAUAUAUAGUCUGAGGGUAUUCAUAAAACCAUUUAAAGUCCUGGAUCGCUUAUGAAGGGACAGGAAACACGCAACACCAUGUCAAAAUAAGAGCGUUUGCUUUAGAAGUUGCUUUUUCCUCCUUCUUGUUCCUCAUCAAGCGAACAUUUGGUCCUGGAUGCUUUUGUCACUAUUUUCUACUUCAUAACCAAACUCGAGGACUUCGGCAAUCGGCCGAUUAAUCAACAACAAAUGUUGUGACGAAGGAGAGGUUUUAAAGUCUCAGUUCAAAGUAAAGCUUUAAAUUUGAACUCUUAAUGUUUUCUUAACUUCUAAUGAAGGUCUCAUAUCGUGAAGACGUUUCAAUAACACCUCUGGCAGGAAGAGAAUAUUCAGCGAGAGCAGAUUCCCUGGUUACACCUUCAGAGGAGGCUUAUUUUUACUGCAACAGAGCAAACGUUUUGGUAUGAAACUGUAAAUCACUUCUUUAGUUUCCCAGAGAACAGAAACCUACAACUUAAUGACUGUGGAGAGUAUUGUAAGAAGUAAUGAUUUAAAAGAUGUCAUGACUUGAAUUUACAGAUUUAAGUUGUAGAAAUGCUUUUAAUUUCUACAACUUAUAUGUAUUUUAUAAAGUAAUGUGUAACAUUUUGAUUCAUGUUUUGUUGUAAUCAGAUUUUAACCACAGUUUAUAUAUUACAAUAUAAAUUACAUUACAUGUCAUCUAUCUGACGCUUUUAUCCAAAGCGACCAUCAAUAAGAACAUUUCAACCAUAAGGACACAAACUCAGAAGAGCAAGAAACAAGGAAGUGUGAUUUCCUCAAAUAAGCCGAUGUACAACUCGCUGUAGAUAAGAACCGUUAUAAGUCCAAUGUAAGUGCUGCAGUUAGUUAGUGUGUUAGUGGAGGUAGAGUCUGAAGAGGUGUGUCUUUAGUCUGAAGAUGUGAAGCUCUCUGUGGUCCUGAUGUCUUCAGAAAUAUCACUUAUUAACAUCCUGAUGAUUGAAAACCGUCUCUGCAGGUUGAGUUUGGCAUUUUUCAUUUUGGGUAAAACAGGUAGAAUAAUCCUCUAGUUGGAAAAGGAGAAAAUAGUUGAAGCUGAAAUUAUUAGAUUUGAAGAAUAUAUAAUAAAUAUAUAUUUUUUUUUGUGGAAAUUUUUUGAAAUAUAUAUAUUUUUUUUCAAAAUGCCAGAGACGUAAUGGUUCAAGCUUCUGAUUUCCUGACUUUCUUUCUUAAUAAUAUUAACUAGAUAUAUUCAACUGUUGCUGUUGGUUAUCAUACCCUGAUGUAGGUUAGGGCAUGUAAACCAGCAGAUACUAAUUUAAAGAAAUUCCUGCAUUAAAAUGUUGCAUCAUGACAGUUUGGAUGACUUGAAACGGUCACUUAUUAUCACGCCAGCAUUUAAUUAUCACGCAAAACAAUUACGCUGCACUGAACUGUAAGUAAAGUACAAAAAGUUAAAAUACGAAACCUGUAAGUAUUACUAGUGAACAAAUAUCAUUCACGUCUUACUGAACCUAGUCACGCGGAAGUGAACGAGGUAAACGAACCCUACAAGUCACGUGAAAAAGGGUCCAAAGACUCGUACAAAGACCCAGUCGAGCCACGAGACGAUGAAUGAAUGUCUCUGUGAGAGGACUCGUUAGUCCCGAGUCCUUGAUCCAUUCACUACGAACCACACAUCACUACUGGAGGACGCUUUGCUGGAGUCGGUUGGAGUUGGAAUCAGAAUAAAAUGAGAAUAUGAGGCGGUGCUGUAAGUGGUCCGUUUGCACUCGACCCUCCUCUCUUUGACACGUGGAGGAAUUCUGCUGCACAGUUCUGUUCACUUCCAAUGCAGAAAGUUCAGCUCCAUCAGGCUUCAACAACGUUACGUUACAGUAACUACAUCAACAUAUUUUGUUGCAUUAAUCUUGGCCAAAUGAAUCGCACAUAUUAACGCAUUUAAGCAUUACAGCCCUGAUAUAUAUAUAUAUAUAUAUAUAAUACUUAUUGUAAAUUUAACAUGAUUUUAUUGCUGUAUUUUCCUUAAUUUGGUGAUAUCAAUAUUUUUCCUAAAUGAUUACAAUACAAACAAAAGAAGUUACAUUUUAAAUACUCAUCACUCUUUUAAAAUUUGACCGCCAAACACUUAAAAAAAAGUCAUAGUUUAUAAUUAACGUCCACAAACCGAUUGAUGAACAUUUCUGACCUUUUGUGUCCUGACUGCUGAUUGGACAGCGACCUGACGAGGUCAAACGCGGGAAAAAAAACAAAAAAGGUUCACGAAUCAUUUCUUUAGAAUCAUAGGAGUUUUUAAUCUGAAUCUUCAUCAUUCACCACCUUCAUCAUCCUCAUUGUCAACCAUGCUCACAGACGCUGUCAUGACAUCAUCGGUUGUUAAUCAUCGCAGAGAAACAUCAUCAUCAUCAUCAGAUACAUUCUCAUCGUUUCAGUGGAUAAUAGAUCAAUCUUUUGUAUUUUAUACCUUAUAAUAUAUUCUUCAUCAUCCAAGGUCAUUUAUUUAUUUUUUUAUACUUUACAUAAGAAUAAAAUGAACAGACUGAGGAAUGACUAUCUGUAUAUUUACAUCAUGAGACACAGAGAAGGAGCGAUAAUCAGGAAUAAAACAGGAAGUAAAGAAAACAGCGAUCAAAGAAGAAGAAGAAGAAGAAGAGGAAGACAAAGGAGCAGCACGGGUGGGGAAGGAGUGUGUGUGUGUGUGUGUGUGUGUGUGUGAGGCGGAAUGCAGCGGCCCUCUGUUCUGUCACAAUGACCGUUGCCACGGUAACCACUGACAGGGCACUAACGCCCUGACAAACAAAAGGAAAGUGUCCUUUCAAAAUAAACUUCUCACAUUAAGCAACAGUAACAGUUGAGGAAAACGUGUUUUCUGGGCCUGACGCUCGUGACGUAAAUGCGGCGUAAGUUACGGAUGUAAGUUCGUAACGAAACUCUGUUAAAUGAGGUAAUGCGUUGACGUAGUCUCACGUGAGACAUGAGCAGACGUCCCUGUGAGGAAGCUUUACUACGUCAGGUGUAGCUCACGCGGAGAGAAGUGCUUUUCAUAUUUAUGUGAUGUCACAUCUAUGAUUCAUGAAAGUCUUUAAGUGUCUCCUGAAUUCGACGUAUUGGGAUGAUCAAGAGGGACGAGUCAGUGUCCUGAUGCAGCUUUAAUGACGUGUGAGUCUCUGUCUAUCAGAAGGAAAGUAAACACAUAAUCAUUUAUAUAUAUAUAU